rnacentral:rRNA from 1 species
UACGAAGGGGGCUAGCGUUGCUCGGAAUUACUGGGCGUAAAGCGCACGUAGGCGGCUUCUAAGUCGAGGGUGAAAUCCUGGAGCUCAACUCCAGAACUGCCUUCGAUACUGGAGAGCUUGAGUCCGGGAGAGGUGAGUGGAACUGCGAGUGUAGAGGUGAAAUUCGUAGAUAUUCGCAAGAACACCAGUGGCGAAGGCGGCUCACUGGCCCGGUACUGACGCUGAGGUGCGAAAGCGUGGGGAGCAAACAGG